GACGAACGCUGGCGGCGUGCCUAACACAUGCAAGUCGAGCGGAGUCAGUAAGAAGAAGUUUUCGGAUGGAAUCUUAUUGAUUUAGCGGCGGACGGGUGAGUAACGCGUGAGCGACCAACCUUGCACAGGGGGAUAACGGACCGAAAGGUUCACUAAUACCGCAUGAGACCACGGUGUUGCAUGACACAGAGGUCAAAGGAGAGAUCCGGUGCAAGACGGGCUCGCGUCCGAUUAGGUAGUUGGUGGGGUAACGGCCCACCAAGCCUAUGAUCGGUAGCCGACCUGAGAGGGUGAUCGGCCACAUUGGAACUGAGAUACGGUCCAAACUCCUACGGGAGGCAGCAGUGGGGAAUAUUGGGCAAUGGGGGAAACCCUGACCCAGCAACGCCGCGUGAAGGAAGAAGGUUUUCGGAUUGUAAACUUCUGUCCUUGGUGAAGAUAAUGACUGUACCCACAGAAGAAGCCCCGGCUAACUCCGUGCCAGCAGCCGCAGUAAAAC
rnacentral:rRNA from 1 species